AGGAGGAUGAGAUAGGAAGGAAGCUGAGUCUAGUAUUUGAGAUCAGGUCUGAACAAGGUCCUGCUCUCUGGUGCUUUCCUGAUUUGAUGGGAAUAUCCUCAGAAGCUCUCCCAGAGCCAAUGGGACCCAGGCAGGAGGUGGACCUUGAUAUCAUCAGAUCAUUCAGUAAGCUGAAAAGUUCACUUCACUACUUCCACUCUACUGAGAAAUGCUGAGCUGAGAGCUGGAAGGAUUUUUGGUUGUUUUCCUGACGUUAGGCUGUUUGAUUUCAGGCCAGUGCAGUGGUCUCAAGGUUUUCCCUUCCGAGCUCAAAAGCAAUUGAUACCUUUGAAGUUCAGCUCAUUGUGCUUUGGUAUGUUUUGCCUUGAUCAAUGUCUUAUGUCAUCUUUGAUAGAAGCUCUUGCUGCCACAGCCAUGACUUGGAAGAUUUCUCACAUCUCCUCUUCCUACCCACCUUCCCCUAUGAAUGAUUUAAGCUAUCUCACUUUUUUAUUAAUAGUUCUCUGGAGGCCUUGGGUACCCUUAGGUUGACUCUCUUGGCCUUACAAAGUUAAAUGUCUACUCGGGGCUUGCAAAAAAAAUUCUUAGUAGCUUAAGAGGUGUCAUUAUUCAGCAAACAUUUCUGACUUUCCCCCCAAAUCAUCUUCAUAACCACAGUGCGUAUGAUUUAACUAGAAUCAAAAAAAACAAUGUAGAUUGGAAGGGACAUCAGGAGGCUAUCUAGUCCAAAACACCGGUCAAAUGUGAGUUAACCUUCGACCAGUAUUUUGUUAGUAAGCUUCAGUUUUGUAAGUAAGUUUCAGAUUUCUUGGAGUUUUGUGCUGUGCUCUGUGACCAUAAGACUUUCAAUAAGGUUAGUAGACAUAAUCAGAGUGGAGGGAAAAUACGAGGGAUUCUGGAAGGACAAAUGUAAAGGUGUAGAUCUUCUUCUUUCCACCAGCAUAUUACAUCAUUGUUGUUCCAUGAACCUAAGUGGUAAGUGGGAAAGUUACCCAGUUCAUCAACUCCUAAUUGUAUCUCUGAAAAUGAACCUUAAACAGCUGUUUUGGUUAAGGAAGUGAUCUUUCAGAUCCCUGAUGCUUCAUAAAUCUCUACAGAACCCAGUAAUAUUUUAAGCACUUUGACAAACAAACAAACAAAAACAAAUGAAUGAAAACAAAACAACAACAAAACAACAACAAAAAACAAGAACAGAACAGGCAGUGGAAUUGUUAAGUACUCAGUGUCUCUGGAAAACAGGGCACUUAUUUAAUUCCUAACUGUAAGCACCCACAUUUGAAAAUACAGGUCAUAACUUGAUAAAAAAAGUAACACAAAUUCCAUUUGCUAGAAUUAUAAUGUGCUAGGCAAACAGUACACCCCCAAAAUUUAGCCAUCUGCUUAAUUAAUCCUUCCAUGGAUUGUGUCUCUCUAUACAUGUUUGUGUGAUCCCACUGAGGGCAAUGGGUUUACAUAGGUGUGUCAGACCAGUGUUUGGCUCUAUGAGUCCCCCAGAUUUGAAAGAUAUCUGGCUCAGCCUGCAUUCUGAUUCAUAAAAAUAAUACAGUUUCCUGAUGUUCUGGGACCUGUUAGCCUUUGUUUUUGUUUUCUCCUCAUUUUGUUACUUUCUGAGGAAUUGCAUUACAAGUAAAGCUACAAAUAAUAAUCAGGUUGUGGCACCUUGGAGAGAGCUUUCACAAAACAUCAUGGAGGAAAUAGGCACACACAAAACCUGUGAAGAAAAUACAGUAGGUUGUACAUACACUUCUCCCACUCAUUGUUUGCAAUUUGCACCAUUUGUGUCAGUGUUUGUAGGCAGCCCUAGAAAACAAGCCAUUGCCUCACUGUGAAACCUAGCCUUGAUACUAAAACUAUUAUAGAGCUCAUGACUCUACUUCCUCUCCCUGACUUUACUUGCUUUCAAAACCCUGUGAUGGUGAGUGCAAUUCUACUGCUGUCCACUUAACCUACAACUUCACAUGAGUUGUAUGCAAACUUUACAGGCCAUCCAGGUAGAAAAUCUUCCAACCUUCACUGGAAAAUGCCUUUAUCAGCUGACACAACUAGCUCAGCUUAGAGUCUACUCUGGCCUCCAGUGUGAUCCACUGGCUUGUGGUGGGAAUGUAACCCAAAUUCCACUACUCCAAUUCAGGCAAA